CAUGGACGACGAUAAAUCAGCUUUGCACAAAAUGAAGAGGAGCGAAGCGCUUAAUAUCGAUAUUUGCCGAGCUGUGAGAACAUCUAAAUUUUUGAAUGGAUGAAAACAUCUUACAAGUUAACAUGCACAGGCUGUCCUGAGAGACUAUUAAAGGAGGAUUGUAAGAGAGGAAUAUGCCAACAAGAACUGCAAUGAGGAGUUGUUGACAGGAGGAAACUUUUUAAAAGAGACCACACACUACCUCAUCAACAUGCUUGAAGAUGAUCUGAGCCUGAAGAGGGACAAAGGGCCUAGUGAUAGACUACCUUUCUGCAAGUAUUGACAAUUCUGCUUUUGUAUGGUGAUAAUUUCAGGGAAUACGUGGUGAUGAGGCAUCAGUGUUGCAAUCAUCUGUUUGUGAGUGAUCAAAGAUGUUUCGCAAGCCAUAGCAAGAAAAAAGAGGUUUUGUGAGAACUUCAACAACCAGAGAUGAGAUUGAGACUACCCAACAACAACUGUGUGAGUGAUCGAUGGGACCCAUGUCUAUACAAGAAUUCCUGGAGGGAAACAAGCCUUGUACUUUCCUGAAGGGCAAGUCCACCCCAACAAAAAAUUCUUUGAUAUAAUACAGAAAAGUCCAAUGAGCAUAACACUAAACAUUUCAUCAAAAUUUGAUGUAAAAUGAGAAAGUGUUGACAUUUUGAAGUUUCGCUUAUUUUCACAAAACAGACAUCCUGGUCAGUAUGCAAAUGAGUGACAAAGUGACGUUCUCCACUCAGUGUUUCUUUUUGUAAUAUACUAGUAUCAUCUCAAAGUACAGGUGAGAUAUGGUUUGAUUUCUCCCUGAAACUUUUGUAAAAAGCCAUUGUGGCAACCUAUACUCAAUUCGAUGAAGGGUUUUCUCAUAAUUGUGAAUUCUGUAAAAAAUCAAGCAUUAUAAUAUAUUUCUACAGAAGAAAGAGGGAGUGUGUGACAUAGACUUGUUUGCAUAUCACCUGUUUUAUCACUUGAUUAAUUAAUUUCUUAUUUUACAUCCUAUUUUGAUGUUUUCCGUGUCAUGCAUGUUUUAUUUAGCUCUAUUCCAUUCACAUUACCUUUUUUUUUGCACAGUGGACUUGCUCGAGAACAGGUAUUUUUUUAAAUGUACAAGUAAGAAUUUCAUUAUUUAUUUGUGUCUUCUUUUUUAACACUUUUUUACAGGGGUGGGGGGGGGGGGGUUGAAUGAACCUCCCUUGAGAUCUCUGCCAAUGAUCACAUUAACGCCUUGAAAAUUGGUAUGAUAAUAGUGGGGGAUGUCAUGUGCAAUGCUGUUUGGUUAAUUUUUCCGAAAUCGUCAGAUCUUUAACAUUAAUUAAUUAUGCUAAUUUCUGCAUAAAUCAUACUUUUAUACCAUU